CUUAUAACUGUAUAAAAUGAUAUUACUUAUUAGACCAGGGUCCAUGUCUAUCUAAAUGUAGAUUGUUAAGUGGGGAUUGUUGUUUAGUUACACUCCAAAACUCCCAGCCAGGUAACUUGGUGGUACUUGCACUUAAUGAAAUGUAUGUGGCAUCAAGUACCGAUUCUGAUAAAGACAACUGAUAAAUACGUAAGUUUUACAUAGUUUGAAAAUGAAAGUGAAAGUUAAAUUUAACCCCCCCAAAAUUGUAAACAGAUGCCUCAGAUGGUGGAAUACCCCUAACAGGUACUUCCUUUCCCCUCUGACAGGUACUUCCUAUCCCCCCAGAUUGUGUAUACUGCAGGUACUUCCUAUCCCCCCAGAUUGUGUAUACUGCAGGUACUUCCUAUCCCCCCCAGAUUGUGUAUACUGCAGGUACUUCCUAUCCCCCCAGAAUGUGUAUACUGCAGGUACUUCCUAUCCCCCCAAACCGGUACUUCCUAUCCCCAGAUUGUGUAUACUGCAGGUACUUCCUAUCCCCCCAGAUUGUGAAUACUGCAGGUUCUUCCUAUGCCCCCAGAUUGUGAAUACUGCAGGUACUUCCUAUCCCCCCAGAUUGUGAAUACUGCAGGUACUUCCUAUCCCCCCAGAUUGUGUAUACUGCAGGUACUUCCUAUGCCCCCAGAUUGUGAAUACUGCAGGUACUUCCUAUCCCCCCAGAUUGUGAAUACUGCAGGUACUUCCUAUCCCCCCAGAUUGUGUAUACUGCAGGUACUUCCUAUCCCCCCAGAUUGUGUAUACUGCAGGUACUUCCUAAGCCCCCAGAUUGUGUACUUCCUAUCCCUCCAGAUUGUGUAUACUACAGAUGCUUCCUAUCCCUCCAGAUUGUGUAUACUGCAGGUAUUUUCUAUCACCCUGAUUGUGUAUACUGCAGGUACUUCCUAUCCCCCCAGAUUGUGUAUACUGCAGGUACUUCCUAUCCCUCCAGAUUGUGUAUACUGCAGGUACUUCCUAUCCCCCCAGAUUGUGAAUACUGCAGGUACUUCCUAUCCCCCCAGAUUGUGUAUACUGCAGGUACUUCCUAUGCCCCCAGAUUGUGAAUACUGCAGGUACUUCCUAUCCCCCCAGAUUGUGUAUACUGCAGGUACUUCCUAUCCCCCCAGAUUGUGUAUACUGCAGGUACUUCCUAUCCCCCCAGAUUGUGUAUACUGCAGGUACUUCCUAUCCCCCCAGAUUGUGAAUACUGCAGGUACUUCCUAUCCCCCCAGAUUGUGUAUACUGCAGGUACUUCCUAUCCCCCCAGAUUGUGUAUACUGCAGGUACUUCCUAAGCCCCCAGAUUGUGUACUUCCUAUCCCUCCAGAUUGUGUAUACUACAGAUGCUUCCUAUCCCUCCAGAUUGUGUAUACUGCAGGUAUUUUCUAUCACCCUGAUUGUGUAUACUGCAGGUACUUCCUAUCCCCCCAGAUUGUGUAUACUGCAGGUACUUCCUAUCCCUCCAGAUUGUGUAUACUGCAGGUACUUCCUAUCCCUCCAGAUUGUGUAUACUGCAGGUACUUCCUAUCCCCCCAGAUUGUGUAUACUGCAGGUACUUCCUAUCCCUCCAGAUUGUGUAUACUGCAGGUACUUCCUAUCCCCCCAGAUUGUGUAUACUGCAGGUACUUCCUAUCCCCCCAGAUUGUGUAUACUGCAGGUACUUCCUAUCCCCCCAGAUUGUGUAUACUGCAGGUACUUCCUAUCCCCCCAGAUUGUGUAUACUGCAGGUACUUCCUAUCCCUCCAGAUUGUGUAUACUGCAGGUACUUCCUAUCCCCCCAGAUUGUGAAUACUGCAGGUACUUCCUAUCCCCCCAGAUUGUGUAUACUGCAGGUACUUCCUAUGCCCCCAGAUUGUGAAUACUGCAGGUACUUCCUAUCCCCCCAGAUUGUGUAUACUGCAGGUACUUCCUAUCCCCCCAGAUUGUGUAUACUGCAGGUACUUCCUAUCCCCCCAGAUUGUGUAUACUGCAGGUACUUCCUAUCCCCCCAGAUUGUGUAUACUGCAGGUACUUCCUAUCCUCCAAAAUUGUGUAUACUACAGGUACUUCCUAUCCCCCCAGAUUGUGAAUACUGCAGGUACUUCCUAUCCUCCUGAUUGUGUAUACUACAGGUACUUCCUAAGCCCCCAGAUUGUGUCUACAACAGGUACUUCCUAUCCCUCUAAAUGUGUAUACUACAGGUGCUUCCUUAAGCCCCCAGAUUGUUUAUACUACAGGUGCUUCCUAUCAGAUCCCAAUUGCGUGGAUCGAUACUCAUGAUUUCAACCACUGGAUUGUCUGGUCCAGACUCAAUUAUUUACAGACUGCCGUCAUAUAGCUGGAAUAAUGAUGAUUGCGGCGUUCAACAACAAACCAACAACCUCCUGAUUGUGUGUUCUGCAGGUAUUUUCUAUACACACGGACGCGGGUGGGAUACUACUACCAUCAGAAAGAGAUCAAGAAAGCCAGAGAGAAGUUGGAGGGAGCUGACCAUUCCAACACAGAA
rnacentral:misc_RNA from 1 species